GGGUGAUCUGCAGAGUCUCAAGCAGGCUAUCGUAAGUCAAACAGCUAGGCUCAAACACGAACAUGCCGGCGUUGAAGUACAGAGGAGGAGGAGAUCCCAUCUCCGCCGGCCAUGUCACCUUAUCAGGGCACUGCUGGCAGUAACCAAUAGAGUAUUGGCGUGAAUGGCUCCAUACCUUCUCGCAAAAGCAGUCCAUUACAGCAUAGAAGUAGCCGUCUGGUGUGUCAAGAAGAUGGUCUAUGUUCUCGUACACUUGAAUAUCCGCAUCCAAAUACACCAUCUUGCUGUACUCCUCGAACUGUUAACAUGAUCGGUUGUAUCAUCAAAAUUUACGCCACCUCAGACUAAAACCAUGGAUUUCUUUUACAAUAUUCCAUUAAGACAUUUAACUCAGGGUUUUUAUUACUUGAAUCUGCAAACUACUCUUUGGUUCCUAGAUUCUGGGAUCAGAGAUAGACUGGAUUGAUGGGAGAUCAAGCUAAUUUUAUUUACUUACUAAAGAUUGAAUUAUAUAUAUAUAUAUAUAUAAUAUAAUAUUAUUGGUAAUAAAGGAAAAAGCUUACUGCCAUGGAGAUAAUUAGGUAACUAGACACAGACUAAAGUAACAAAAAAAGAUGCUUCUGAAAUUAAUAAUAUGAUAUUGAUGCCUUUGUUUCAACUUUGGAUUUAAAUGUUGUGUAGAUCAAAUUAAACAAAAAAAAAAAAGGAGUAGGUGGUAUCUAUUUUCGUUUGUACGGACUUUAUUCUAUAACGAAUCAAUGGAAUGGAUGAUAUAUAUAUAUAUAUAUGUUGGUUUUACAUUUACUUACGUUCCAUAUACGAAGCUUGGAGUAAUUGAUGACGUAGUAGGCCAUGGCAAAGUGAACCUGGUUCUGUGGUGGAUAAAUAGGCUCGAUCUCCCGAACAAUGCAACCUUGGGACCUCAAAAUCUCUCGGUGUUCCUCAGGCACAUCGGGCAAGAUAGCAACUACAAGAGGGUAUGCACUCUUGACCUUGCGCAAACCCUUGGCCAAUCCAACCACCCCUUUAACGUAAUCACCAUUACCAGCUAAAAAUGUUACGUAAGCCUUCUUCGAGUAGCCUCCGUUAACCUUGCCCGAGGUUGAAAAGACGUCCAAGGGCACUCCCGGGGCCAUUUCUACUGCAAGCUUUUUAAGUGAUCUAUAGAGGUGAUGAUCAGAAAAUGUGGAGAGGGGCCAAGAGGCUUAGUUUUGAGGAGUGGGAGGAAAGUAAACCAGCAAACUUUUAGGAUGCUUGCCACCCUACUAACCUUUACU
rnacentral:lncRNA from 1 species